AUUGGUGCCCGAGCCCAGCUGAGCCUGAUAUCUUCACCUUCCAUUCUGCGCUCGGGAUCCAUGAAAAGAGGUCUGCCGUGUCAGGCGCGGAUCGCAGAAAAUAGGCAGCGAGGCGAAAUACGGUAGGAAACAGUGCGCUAGCAGUCGGCCAGGGGCGUGCGUUUUUGACGGAGCAGGCGCGGGCGUGAACUGGUCCGUGGACCAGGACGUUAGUGUUUUUGCGUUUCAUGGAUCAGAUAAGGGGAACAGGCCGGUGCCGAGAAACUGAGCCGUCCGUCUCACACGUUUGCGACACACGUGCGUCUCGGUCGUUCUGAAAAACCCUUGCCGCCCAACCACCCCCGGCCGCCAGACCACGCUGCGACGACCGGCAAGAGUAUUUCUUGCGGCGGCGAUAGCUGGUCGACGGCAACCGCUACGUGAGCGACAUGGAAGAUGUUGGAUUGGACUUCUUCCUUGAUGCCAUUGACAGGUUCCGCUUGCAGGAAUUCGCGGACAGCCACGAACACCCAGAUCCGGUUCCUCUGAUUUGUUGGCGAGCGGCAGAGUAGGAGCGACGGCCCCUGCUGAUUCCAAUGCUUGCUCCGGUUGUGGUCAGCAGAUCCGCGGCGACGGCAGCGAAGCUGCGCGUGCUGGGGUCCGGCGAUGACAGGAGUCAUCCCCGACGAGGUCCACAGUCCACCGACAGAGUCAAUCCCCAGGCCCCUCUGGUUGCACAAAAAGGCUGAGGCUCGGUAGCACCCUCCUGAUAGAACCCCUUGCGCUUCCCGGAUGAGUGUGCUGGUGUGAUUCGGAAAUUUGUGGAGAAACCAAUAAAAGUGUGAUCAAGCCUGAGCUGGGAUCAAACUUUGACUCCCUCGGCAAGGCGUACAAUUUCUACAAUUGUACUUGUGGGAAGUGGGAUUCGGGAUAAGAUAUUAUAAAAGCAGAUUGAACGCGGAGAGGGAGAAAUCAAUGUAGGAAAUUAUGUGUGAAUGCUCACGAAAGCCUAAAGUCGGGAACAACCGGUCUUGCAGAUGUGAGUGUCCGACGCUGAUCAGGCUCCUGAGUGUCAGACAUCAGUUGAUUCUUAACAGAGCAUCGUGAGAAACAUAACCACUCAAUGUCUCUCAUGAUGGGAGAGAAAGUGCAUUAGCCAUCAGAAAGUUGUGAACCACAUGCUCACUGUAGACGAGAUUGAAAAUGCCUGGACUAUAUUGAUGGAAAAGUAUAAUCUGAAACAGCACCCAUACAUGAUAGAGUUAUAUGAAAUCAGGACCAAGUGGGUGAAGCCUUAUAUCAAGGGGGUUCUCUGUGCAAGAAUGACAAGCACACAACACAACAAGAGUGCUAAUAAUAUGCUGAAAACGUAUAUGCCUCGUGCCAUUGCAGUGCACAUGUUUGUGAGCCAGUACAUAUGGCUCCAGUUUGACCGUGAACGCGAUGAGAGCUACAAGGAGAAAAGAACAAGGAUUUUAAGUCAGUGUCUUCCCUUCUCUGUCAUUUGAUCAGGUAUUUCAGAGUGCUCUAACAAUUGUCUCCUUGUGCAGAGUGGAGCAAGGAUUGUAAGUCAGUGUCUUCCCUUCUGUCAUUUGAUCAGGUGUUUCAGAGUGCCCUAACAAUUGUCCCCUUGUGCAGAGUGUAGCCGUGCGGCGUAUAAACCCUGUGAUCGAGAGGCAUGCAAUCAAGGUUUAUACUCGAGACAUGUUCUAGUAGUUUGGUCAGUUCCUUGUUGAGAGAACUGCAUAUAGUGUGACUGAGAUUGACUAUAAGGGUAAGAAGUAUGUGACGACAUAUAACCAUGCGACCAACCGGGAGAAGUGGAGUAGCGUAGUCUACAAGGUGAUGGACGUAUUGAAUUUGGCUGAAAUACCGGAUAAGCACAUUGUUAAGUGUUGGAAAAAAGACGCGGGGGAUAUACUACCCAGACAUCUGGUCCAUUACCAGAAGAAUGAGGCAGUGAACCAUUCAUUCACUUGUAGGCACUCCACAGUGACCUACAAGCGAUUGAUAUUGUUAGAAUGAGUGAUGAGAGUGCGGAAGAGUUUGAUCGCAUGUUGAGGAAAUGAAAGCAGUAAUGCUGAGUUGUGCUCCUUUGGCUGAGAAGAGGGAUGAGCCCGAUUUUGAAGACCAGCAGGCAACAUAAUCUGCCUGAAGGAAUGCCGGUAAUGGCUAGGUUGCCGCAAUAGGAGAUGGUAGUCCUACUGAAAAGCAUAGUUUGGGAUUCUCCGGUGGUGUAAAUGCAUGGCAGGGACUAGCGCCAGCGGCAAAGGCAGAGGGGAGCUGGUAGGCUGACAAACAGCUGUUACAAGGCUCCUUGCGAGGGUUUGAGCGAGCGGACGGGAUUCUGCAGGAUCUGCCGAAGGCAAGGGAACAAGAGAACAACUUGCCCUGAACGCGGGGAUGCCCCGAAGCAGCCUCACAAACUCGGGAAGUGCAAGAAUUGUGGAGUUGAGGAGCACAUGCGUAACAGUUGCACAAGGCCUCUGCGCGACAAUUGGUGGAAAGAAUAAGAUGAGGUUUAUAUUUGUAUGAUUCCAUUAGCAUUUGAGGAUUUUCUAGCAGUGCUUGUGUAUGCAUGGCUUAGAAAGCAUAUGUGAGAGUGCAAGUAAAUGAUGAUACACUGUUGCAUUUAGUGGGUGAGUGUUUCAAUUUGAAAAUUGAACUUGGGUUGCACUGAAUGCAGUUUCAAUAUUUUUUUUU